AUGUUGUAUGAAACAUUAAUCCGAGAAAAAUGUUUUCCUCAUAAAUUAAUUGCAUAUGGAGAUGGGUGGUCAUGGAUACCUCCCUCUAGCGUACUCCUGAUGUCUGCUGCGCCCAAGACUUUAGAUGGUUGGUUGGGUUGUUUCUCUUCUCAUGAUGUUUUUGUUGUCUCUUUUGUUUUCUCGUCAUGGAUUUUUACUAGAUUUGUUGUUCUUGCUCACUGCUUGUGCUUUUUAUUCCUUUUGUAUCUCUUUUAA